rnacentral:rRNA from 1 species
UACAGAGGGGGCAAGCGUUGUUCGGAAUUACUGGGCGUAAAGGGCGCGUAGGCGGCCUGUUAAGUCGAACGUGAAAUCCCCGGGCUCAACCCGGGAACUGCGUCCGAAACUAGCAGGCUCGAAUUCGGGAGAGGGAUGCGGAAUUCCAGGUGUAGCGGUGAAAUGCGUAGAUAUCUGGAGGAACACCGGUGGCGAAGGCGACGUCCUGGACCGGCAUUGACGCUGAGGCGCGAAAGCCAGGGGAGCAAACGGG